CCUACGGGUGGCUGCAGUGAGGAAUAUUGGUCAAUGGACGAGAGUCUGAACCAGCCAAGUAGCGUGAAGGAUGACUGCCCUAUGGGUUGUAAACUUCUUUUAUAUGGGAAUAAAACGUUCCACGAGUGGGAUUUUGUAUGUACCAUAUGAAUAAGGAUCGGCUAACUCCGUGCCAGCAGCCGCGGUAAUACGGAGGAUCCGAGCGUUAUCCGGCUUUAUUGGGUUUAAAGGGAGCGUAGGUGGAUUGUUAAGUCAGUUGUGAAAGUUUGCGGCUCAACCGUAAAAUUGCAGUUGAAACUGGCAGUCUUGAGUACAGUAGAGGUGGGCGGAAUUCGUGGUGUAGCGGUGAAAUGCUUAGAUAUCACGAAGAACUCCGAUUGCGAAGGCAGUUCACUGGACUGCAACUGACACUGAGGCUCGAAAGUGUGGGUAUCAAACAGGAUUAGAUACCCUGGUAGUC
rnacentral:rRNA from 1 species